rnacentral:rRNA from 1 species
AUUGAACGCUGGCGGCAUGCUUUACACAUGCAAGUCGGACGAGUGGCGAACGGGUGAGUAACGCAUCGGAACGUACCGAGUAAUGGGGGAUAACUGUCCGAAAGGACAGCUAAUUCCGCAUAGUAUUAGAGCGGCCGAUGUCUGAUUAGCUGGUGGGCGGGGUCAAGGCCCACCAAGGCGACGAUCAGUAGCGGGGCUGAGAGGAUGAUCAGCCAUCAUGGGCCUUAGCCACGGCCCAGACUCCUACGGGAGGCAGCAGUGGGGAAUUUUGGACAAUUGGCGCAAGCCUGAUCCAGCCAUGCCGCGUGUCUGAAGAAGGCCUUCGGGUUGUAAAGGACUUUUGUCAGGGAAGCGGUACCUGAAGAAUAAGCACCGGCUAACUACGUGCCAGCAGCCGCGGUAAUAC